ACUCCUACGGGAGGCAGCAGUGGGGAAUAUUGCGCAAUGGACGAAAGUCUGACGCAGCGACGCCGCGUGGAGGAUGUAAGGUUUUCGGAUCGUAAACUCCUGUCAAGAGGGAAGAAACCUAUUAUGAAUAAUACUCAUAGUAAUUGACGGUACCUCUAGAGGAAGCACCGGCUAAUUCAGUGCCAGCAGCCGCGGUAAUACUGAAGGUGCAAGCGUUAAUCGGAAUCACUGGGCGUAAAGCGCUCGUAGGUGGCUUUGUAAGUCAGGUGUGAAAGCCCACGGCUCAACCGUGGAAUUGCACUUGAUACUGCAUCGCUAGAGUAUAGGAGAGGGAAGUGGAAUUUCUGGUGUAGGAGUGAAAUCCGUAGAGAUCAGAAGGAACACCCGUGGCGAAGGCGACUUCCUGGACUAUUACUGACACUGAGGAGCGAAAGCGUGGGAGCAAACAGGAUUAGAUACCCCUGGUAGACUGUCA
rnacentral:rRNA from 1 species